rnacentral:lncRNA from 1 species
UUCCAUAUUUGUAUUUCCAUAUUCUAGUCUUUCCAUUAUUCUAUGACGGUGUAAUUCCCUAUAUAUAAAGGGCUCCUUAUGUUUAUGAAUAAUAUAGAAACAUAUAGAUUUAUUCUCUAGUUUCACAACAUAGAAAACAAUAUUGGUGGUUGGAGCGUUAAAACUAUUUUCAAAAGGUAUUUAAAACAUGACAUCAGAGCAACUUUAAUGAGAUUUCUUGCUUGGGUUUCCCG